rnacentral:misc_RNA from 1 species
CAACCCUCGAGCCCUCGUGGCCCGGCGUUGGGGAUCUGCCACGGCAGGCCCCGAAAUACAGUGGCGGACCCGUUAGGCCCUUCCUUUGCGUAGUAGCAUUAGCCUCGCAUUGGGAGCCGGCGGGCUCUCCUGCCUCUAAACCCCCCAACAAGCCCGCUCCGGCGGCACCAA